rnacentral:rRNA from 1 species
GACGAACGCUGGCGGCGUGCUUAACACAUGCAAGUCGAACGGAAAGGCCCUGCUUUUGUGGGGUGCUCGAGUGGCGAACGGGUGAGUAACACGUGAGUAACCUGCCCUUGACUUUGGGAUAACUUCAGGAAACUGGGGCUAAUACCGGAUAGGAGCUCCUGCUGCAUGGUGGGGGUUGGAAAGUUUCGGCGGUUGGGGAUGGACUCGCGGCUUAUCAGCUUGUUGGUGGGGUAGUGGCUUACCAAGGCUUUGACGGGUAGCCGGCCUGAGGGGGUGACCGGCCACAUUGGGACUGAGAUACGGCCCAGACUCCUACGGGAGGAAGCAGUGGGGAAUAUUGCACAAUGGGCGGAAGCCUGAUGCAGCAACGCCGCGUGCGGGAUGACGGCCUUCGGGUUGUAAACCGCUUUCGCCUGUGACGAAGCGUGAGUGACGGUAAUGGGUAAAGAAGCACCGGCUAACUACGUG